UUAUGUAAUAUAAAAUAUUAUAUUUAACUUCCAAUUAAGAAAUCUAUCCACAAAUAGCAUAAAUA
rnacentral:tRNA from 1 species